GGGAAUGUGGUCUAGUGGUAUGCUCCAUCUGAAGCGAGAAUGCGAGUGGUUGAGGGUUCGAUUCCCUCCAUUCCCC
rnacentral:tRNA from 1 species